rnacentral:rRNA from 1 species
AACGAACGCUGGCGGCAGGCCUAACACAUGCAAGUCGAACGCUCCGCAAGGGGAGUGGCAGACGGGUGAGUAACACGUGGGAAUCUUCCUGUUGGUGCGGAAUAGCUCAGGGAAACUUGGGGUAAUACCGCAUAAGCCCGAGAGGGGAAAGAUUUAUCGCCGACAGAUGAGCCCGCGUCUGAUUAGCUAGUUGGUGAGGUAACGGCUCACCAAGGCGACGAUCAGUAGCUGGUCUGAGAGGAUGACCAGCCACACUGGGACUGAGACACGGCCCAGACUCCUACGGGAGGCAGCAGUGGGGAAUAUUGGACAAUGGGCGCAAGCCUGAUCCAGCCAUGCCGCGUGAGUGACGAAGGUCUUCGGAUUGUAAAGCUCUUUUGGCGGGGACGAUAAUGACGGUACCCGCAGAAUAAGCCCCGGCUAACUUCGUGCCAGCCGCCGCGGUAAUAC